rnacentral:lncRNA from 1 species
UGUGAUUCUCUACAUUUUAGAUGUCUUGUAAGUUAGAAGAGCAUGCUCUAACUUGUGCUUGUUCUACAAUGGGAUACGUGGAGGAAAGCCCAACCUGAACUGCAGAUAAGCCCCCAGCUGAAUCCAAUCAAGUUCAACCAAGCUCAGAAAAACUUCAGCUGACCUACAGAUAUUUUCACAAGGAAUAAAAAUGGUUAUGGCAAACCACUGGAAUUGGGGAUUGUUUGUUAUGCAGCAUUAUUGCAGUAAAAACUGUCCAAUACAAUAACUGUGUUACAAUUCAGAAAACAUUGUAUUAAAAUAACAAAGUAUGGAAGUCCAAAAUAUACCAAGUUCCUCCGAGUUUAAAACACUUCCAUGAGACACAUUACCACAUAGUGAAAGAAGCAUGACUUGGCUUCCAGUGUCUGACAGACUUGAUUUGUUAGAAGGGAAUCUGAAAUUACUAAAUAUCUGGACCUCAGGAUUCACAACCAACAAACAAGGUAUUUGUCUGGAUUAGAAAUUAU